rnacentral:lncRNA from 1 species
AUCCGGCUGGGAUUUCCAUUCUAACAGGGGGGGUGAGUGUAAUUUAUGAACUACGCUACGAGGGCUGGGGUGUGAUAAUUGUAUGUUAAUGAGGGCUGUCGUUAUGGAGGGGGGCAAUUGCAUAUUAAUGAGGCUGUUCGCUUAUGGAGGGGUUCUCAAUUGCAUAUUAAUGCAGGGCUGUAAUUAUGGGGGGGGGGGGUAAUUACAUACUAAUUGAGGUUGGGGGUGGGUAAUUGCAUAUUAUAUUUGAGGCCUUUCAUUAUGGGGGGCUCCUAAUUGCAUAUUAAUGAGGCCUUUCAUUAUGGGGGGGCAUUUAUUGUAGGGCUAAUUACAUAUUAAUGAGGCUUGGGGGGGGGGAAUUGCAUAUUAAUGAGGCCUUUCAUUGGGGGGGGGUGCUAAUUGCAUAUUAAUGAGGACUCUCAUUAUGGGAAGGCUAAUUACAUAUUAAUGAGGACUCUCAUUAUUGGGGGUGUUCAUUCAUAGGAUGCUAAUUACAUGCUAAUGAGGCCUAUUACUGGGGGGGUGUGCUUCCCAUGUUGUUCCCGUGUUGUUCCCAUGUUCUUCCCAUGUUCUUCCCGUGUUGUUCCCGUGUUGUUCCCAUGUUGUUCCCGUGUUGUUCCCAUGUUCUUCCCAUGUUGUUCCCAUGUCCUCACAUAUGAAUCCCCCCUUCCCGUGUCCUUUCCAUGUUCCCAUACCCCACAUAUGACCCCCCUUCCCAUGUUCUUCCCAUGUUCUUCCCAUGUUCCCAUACCCCACAUAUGACCCCCCCUUCCCGUGUCCUUCCCAUGUGUUUCCCGUGUCCUUCCCAUGUAGUUCCCAUGUCCUUCCCAUGUAGUUCCCAUGUCCUUCCCGUGUCAUUCCCAUGUAGUUCCCAUGUCCUUCCCAUGUAGUCCCAUGUUAUUCCCAUGUAGUUCCCAUAUGUUCCCAUGUCCUUCCCAUGUAGUUCCCAUGUCCUUCCCGUGUCAUUCCCAUGUAGUUCCCAUGUCCUUCCCAUGUAGUUCCCAUGUCAUUCCCAUGUAGUCCCAUGUUAUUCCCGUGCUGUCCCCCCCCGUUCCCGUGUCGUGUUGGUUCCGUUCCGUGUUUCCCCGUGUUCUUUCCGUCCUUCCCCAUUUACUGCCCCAUAACUUCCCUCCCCACCCCAUAACUCCCCCCCCGCCAUAACUCCCCCCCCACCCCACAAACUCCCCCCCCGCCCCAUAACUGUCCCCCCUGCCCCAUAGCUCCCCGCCCACCCGCCCCAUAACUUCCCCCCCCGGCCUCAUUAGCUCCCCCACCCAUAACUCCCCCCUUGCCCCAAUAACUCCCCCCGCCCAUAACUCCCCCCCUGCCCAUAAACUCCCCUCACCCAUAACUUCCCCACCAACCCCAUAACUCCCGCACCCGCCCCAUACUCCCCCCCCACCCCAUAAUCCCCCCUCGCCCCAUAACUUUCCCCCCACCCAACAACUACCCUCCGCCCCAUAACUUUCCCCCCACCCCAUAACUCCCCCCCUGCCCCAUAACUCCCCCCCCGCCCCAUUAGCUCCCCCCCGCCCAUAACUUCCCCCCCCCGCCCCAUAGCUCCCCAGCCCAUAACUCCCCCCUGCCCAUAACCCCCCCCCACCCCCAUAAAUCCCCCCGAGCCCAUAAUUCCCCCCCGCCCCAUGGCCUCCCCCCUGCUUGGCCCAUUAGCUUCCCCCGCGCCCCAUAACUCCCCCCCACCAUAACCCCCCGCCCCA